rnacentral:rRNA from 1 species
GAUGAACGCUGGCGGCGUGCCUAAUACAUGCAAGUCGAGCGAACGGACGAGAAGCUUGCUUCUCUGAUGUUAGCGGCGGACGGGUGAGUAACACGUGGAUAACCUACCUAUAAGACUGGGAUAACUUCGGGAAACCGUAGCUAAUACCGGAUAAUAUUUUGAACCGCAUGGUUCAAAAGUGAAAGACGGUCUUGCUGUCACUUAUAGAUGGAUCCGCGCUGCAUUAGCUAGUUGGUAAGGUAACGGCUUACCAAGGCAACGAUGCAUAGCCGACCUGAGAGAGUGAUCGGACACACUGGAACUGAGACACGGUCCAGACUCCUACGGGAGGCAGCAGUAGGGAAUCUUCAGCAAUGGGCGAAAGCCUGACGGAGCAACGCAGCGUGAGUGAUGAAGGUCUUCGGAUCGUAAAACUCUGUUAUUAGGGAAGAACAUAUGUGUAAGUAACUGUGCAAAUACCGACGGUACCUAAUCAGAACGCCACGGCUAACUACGUG